UGAUCUACGCGCAGCCACAAGAUGGAUAG
rnacentral:sRNA from 1 species